UACGUAGGGGGCAAGCGUUGUCCGGAUUUAUUGGGCGUAAAGAGCGUGUAGGCGGCUUGGUAGGUCCGCUGUGAAAACUCGAGGCUCAACCUCGAGAUGUCGGCGGAAACCACUUGGCUAGAGUCCGGAAGAGGAGAGUGGAAUUCCCGGUGUAGCGGUGAAAUGCGCAGAUAUCGGGAAGAACACCUAUGGCGAAGGCAGCUCUCUGGGACGGUACUGACGCUGAGACGCGAA
rnacentral:rRNA from 1 species